UACGAGGGGGGGCAAAUGUUGUUCGGAAUCACUGGGCGUAAAGGGAGCGUAGGCGGGUUCUUAAGUUAGGUGUUUAAUCCCGGGGCCCAACCCCGGACCGGCACUUAAAACUGGGAAUCUUGAAUAGUGGAGAGGUCGGUGGAAUUGGAGGUGUAGCGGUGGAAUGCGCAGAUAUCAGGAGGAACACCGGUGGCGAAGGCGGUUCUCUGGGCAUUACCUGACGCUGAGGAGCGAAAGUGUGGGGAGCGAACAGG
rnacentral:rRNA from 1 species